rnacentral:rRNA from 1 species
CCUACGGGGGGCUGCAGUAAGGAAUAUUGGUCAAUGGAGGAAACUCUGAACCAGCCAUCCCGCGUGAAGGAUGAAGGGGCUCUGCCUUGUAAACUUCUUUUGAAUGGGACGAAAAAAGGGGAUUUAUCCUCGACUGACGGUACCAUUAGAAUAAGCACCGGCUAACUCCGUGCCAGCAGCCGCGGUAAUACGGAGGGUGCAAGCGUUAUCCGGAAUCACUGGGUUUAAAGGGUGCGUAGGCGGCUAAAUAAGUCAGUGGUGAAAGGCCGUGGCUUAACCAUGGGAUUGCCAUUGAUACUGUAUAGCUUGAAUGAGGAUGAGGUUGGCGGAAUGUGGCAUGUAGCGGUGAAAUGCUUAGAUAUGCCAUGGAACAUCGAUUGCGAAGGCAGCUGACUGGACCUGAAUUGACGCUGAGGCACGAAAGCGUGGGUAGCGAACAGGAUUAGAUACCCGAGUAGUC